rnacentral:hammerhead_ribozyme from 1 species
AUCCAGAUGACGAGUUUCAAAUAGAACGAAAUGCGCAUUAUCAUGGAU